rnacentral:rRNA from 1 species
GACGAACGCUGGCGGCGUGCUUAACACAUGCAAGUCGAACGGAAAGGCCCUGCUUUUGUGGGGUGCUCGAGUGGCGAACGGGUGAGUAACACGUGAGUAACCUGCCCUUGACUUUGGGAUAACUUCAGGAAGCUGGGGCUAAUACCGGAUAGGAGCUCCUGCUGCAUGGUGGGGGUUGGAAAGUUUCGGCGGUUGGGGAUGGACUCGCGGCUUAUCAGCUUGUUGGUGGGGUAGUGGCUUACCAAGGCUUUGACGGGUAGCCGGCCUGAGAGGGUGACCGGCCACAUGGGGACUGAGAUACGGCCCAGACUCCUACGGGAGGCAGCAGUGGGGAAUAUUGCACAAUGGGCGGAAGCCUGAUGCAGCAACGCCGCGUGCGGGAUGACGGCCUUCGGGUUGUAAACCGCUUUCGCCUGUGACGAAGCGUGAGUGACGGUAAUGGGUAAAGAAGCACCGGCUAACUACG